rnacentral:rRNA from 1 species
GACGAACGCUGGCGGCGUGCCUAAUACAUGCAAGUCGAGCGGACCAAAGAGAGCUUGCUCUUUGAGGUUAGCGGCGGACGGGUGAGUAACACGUGGGCAACCUGCCUGUAAGCUUGGGAUAACUCCGGGAAACCGGUGCUAAUACCGAAUACAACAGGGGACCGCAUGGUCCCUUGUACAAAGACCUUGUGUCACUUACAGAUGGGCCCGCGGCGCAUUAGCUUGUUGGUGGGGUAACGGCCUACCAAGGCGACGAUGCGUAGCCGACCUGAGAGGGUGAUCGGCCACACUGGGACUGAGACACGGCCCAGACUCCUACGGGAGGCAGCAGUAGGGAAUCUUCCGCAAUGGACGAAAGUCUGACGGAGCAACGCCGCGUGAGCGAUGAAGGUUUUCGGAUCGUAAAGCUCUGUUGUCAGGGAAGAACCGCCGGGAUGACCUCCCGGUCUGACGGUACCUGACGAGAAAGCCCCGGCUAACUACGUGCCAGCAGCCGCGGUAAUAC